rnacentral:tRNA from 1 species
GCAGCCGUGGCCUACUGGUUAGGGCUUCAGGCUUGUAACUGAAGGGUUGCCGGUUCGAUCCCAGACCCAGUAGGA